ensembl:snoRNA predicted gene, 27607
AAAUUACUAGUAUUCUGUCAGCUUUGGAAGCAGGAGGGAGAACAAGUCUAGCAGAGGUACCCACUCCACUCCCAGUUUGCUCUGCUCGGUAGCUGGUGAUUGGAAGACACUCUGCAACAUCA